UGCAAGGUUGCAUGCACGAUCAGGUGAGUUGAGGAUCUCAUAGUAGAAAACGGAGAAGUUAAGUGCCAGUCCCAAACGGAUUGGGUGGGUAGGGGCCAGAUCAGCAAGGGCAAUAUCCUGCAACAAAGAAAGGGGAAAACAUUAGUGGGUAUGAACAUUGGAAGACCACACAACCGAACAUUGUGCUGAAGGUCUACCAAUCUACCAGAACAACAGAUGUGUUUUCACAAGUCUAGAUCAAAAGCGAACCUGAGCGGACUUGUAAGCCAACAAGGUGCUCUCAGCAGCUUCCUUCCUCUCAGCUCCAGUUUUAAACUCUGCAAGAUACCUAUGGUAGUCACCCUUCAUUUUAAGGUAAAAGACCUUAGACUCAGCAGCGGAGGUAGCAGGAAUGAGAUGCGACUCAAGAAGGUUCAGGAUGCCAUCACAAAUCUUGCUCAACUCAGUUUCAAUCUUAGACCUGUAAUCCUUGAUAGUAGAAACAUGGUCCUCAUUUCCCCUGCUUUCUUCUUUCUGCUCGAUGGAAGAGAUAAUCCUCCAUGAAGCUCUUCUGGCCCCAAUCACGUUCUUGUAAGCAACAGAAAGUAGGUUCCUUUCCUCCACGGUCAGCUCCUCAACAUCCACUGUCUUGGCAACUUUCUCCAUAAACUCCACCAUCUCCUCGUAACGUUCAGCCUGCUCAGCCAACUUUGCCAUGUAGACAUUGUCUUCA
rnacentral:lncRNA from 1 species